UACGUAGGGGGCUAGCGUUGUCCGGAAUCAUUGGGCGUAAAGCGCGCGUAGGCGGCCCGGUAAGUCCGCUGUAAAAGUCAAGGGCUCAACCUUUGAAUGUCAGUGGAUACUGCCGGGCUAGAGUCCGGAAGAGGCGAGUGGAACUCCUGGUGUAGCGGUGGAAUGCGCAGAUAUCAGGAAGAACACCGACGGCGAAGGCAGCUCGCUGGGACGGUACUGACGCUGAGGCGCGAAAGCGUGGGGAGCGAACAGG
rnacentral:rRNA from 1 species